GACGUAGGGGGCCAGCGUUGCUCGGAAUUACUGGGUGUAAAGGGUUCGUAGGCGGUUCGGUAAGUUGGGAGUGAAAUCUCUGGGCUUAACCCAGAGGCUGCUUCCAAAACUGCUGUGCUUGAGUGUGGGAGAGGCGCGUGGAAUUGCAGGUGUAGCGGUGAAAUGCGUAGAUAUCUGCAGGAACACCCGUGGCGAAAGCGGCGCGCUGGACCGAUACUGACGCUGAGGAACGAAAGCUAGGGGAGCAAACAGG
rnacentral:rRNA from 1 species